UUUUGGACAAUGGGGGAAACCCUGAUCCAGCAAUGCCGCGUGAGUGAAGAAGGCCUUCGGGUCGUAAAGCUCUUUUGUCAGGGAAGAAACACCGGCUCUAACACAGUCCGGGAAUGACGGUACCUGAAGAAUAAGCACCGGCUAACUACGUGCCAGCAGCCGCGGUAAUACGUAGGGUGCGAGCGUUAAUCGGAAUUACUGGGCGUAAAGCGUGCGCAGGCGGUUAUACAAGACAGGCGUGAAAUCCCCGGGCUUAACCUGGGAAUGGCGCCUGUGACUGUAUGGCUAGAGUGUGUCAGAGGGGGGUGGAAUUCCGCGUGUAGCAGUGAAAUGCGUAGAUAUGCGGAGGAACACCGAUGGCGAAGGGAGCCCCCUGGAGUAUUGAACUGACGCUCAUGCACGAAG
rnacentral:rRNA from 1 species